ACAAACAUCUUGAGUGCUGCGCAGGUA
rnacentral:piRNA from 1 species